AACGAACGCUGGCGGCAUGCCUAACACAUGCAAGUCGAACGAACCCUUCGGGGUGAGUGGCGCACGGGUGCGUAACGCGUGGGAACCUGCCCUUAGGUUCGGAAUAACAGUGAGAAAUCGCUGCUAAUACCGGAUAAUGUCUUCGGACCAAAGAUUUAUCGCCUUUGGAUGGGCCCGCGUUGGAUUAGCUAGUUGGUGGGGUAAAGGCUCACCAAGGCGACGAUCCAUAGCUGGUCUUAGAGGACGAUCAGCCACACUGGGACUGAGACACGGCCCAGACUCCUACGGGAGGCAGCAGUGGGGAAUAUUGGACAAUGGCGAAAGCCUGAUCCAGCAAUGCCGCGUGAGUGAUGAAGGCCUUAGGGUUGUAAAGACUCUUUUACCUAGGGAUGAUAAAUGACAGUACCUGGAGAAUAAGCUCCGGCUAACUCCGUGCCAGCAGCGCGGUAAUGUAUCGUACG
rnacentral:rRNA from 1 species